rnacentral:rRNA from 1 species
UUGACCUCGGAUCAGGUAGGGAUACCCGCUGAACUUAAGCAUAUCAAUAAGCGGAGGAAAAGAAACCAACAGGGAUUGCCUUAGUAACGGCGAGUGAAGCGGCAAUAGCUCAAAUUUGAAAGCUGGCGUCUUCGACGUCCGCGUUGUAAUUUGUAGAGGAUGCUUCGGCGAGGACUCCUGCCUAAGUCCCCUGGAACGGGGCGUCACAGAGGGUGAGAAUCCCGUACGUGGCGGGCGGUCCAAGCCAUGUGAAGCUCCUUCGACGAGUCGAGUUGUUUGGGAAUGCAGCUCUAAAUGGGAGGUAAAUUUCUUCUAAAGCUAAAUAUUGGCCAGAGACCGAUAGCGCACAAGUAGAGUGAUCGAAAGAUGAAAAGCACUUUGGAAAGAGAGUUAAAAAGUACGUGAAAUUGUUGAAAGGGAAGCGCUUGCAACCAGACUCGCUCGCAGUUGCUCAUCCGGCCUCUUGGCCGGUGCACUCUUCUGCGAUCGGGCCAGCAUCAGUUCGGGCGGCUGGAUAAAGGUGUCGGGAAUGUAGCACCCUUCGGGGUGUGUUAUAGCCCGGCGCGGAAUGCGGCCAGCCUGGACUGAGGAUCUCGCUUCGGCAAGGAUGCUGGCGUAAUGGUUGUAAGCGGCCCGUCU